GAUGAAGAACGUAGCGAAAUGCGAUAAGUAAUGUGAAUUGCAGAAUUCAGUGAAUCAUCGAAUCUUUGAACGCACAUUGCGCCCCCCGGUAUUCCGGCGGGCAUGCCUGUUCGAGCGUCAUUUCAACCAUCAAGCCCCAGGCUUGCGUUGGAGCCCUGCGGCUGCCGCAGCCUCCUAAAAGCAGUGGCGGGCUCGCUAUCACACCGAGUGCAGUAGAUUACUCUUCGCUCAGGGCGUGCAGCGGGUUCCGGCCGUGAAACCCCCUACUUUUAAAGGUUGACCUCGGAUCAGGUAGGAAUACCCGCUGAACUUAAGCAUAUCAAUAAGCGGAGGA
rnacentral:misc_RNA from 1 species